ACCGUUUCUCUUGAGUGCGGAUGAGGUAGGCGGAAUUUGUGGUGUAGCGGUGAAAUGCGUAGAUAUCACAAGGAACACCGAUUGCGGAGGCAGCUUACUAAACCGUUACUGACGCUCAUGCACGAAGGCGUGGGGAUCAAACAGGAUUAGAUACCCUGGUAGUCCACGCAGUAAACGAUGAUUACUUGCUGUUUGCGAUACACAGUAAGCGGCGAAGCGAAAGCGUUAAGUAAUCCACCUGGGGAGUACGUUCGCAAGAAUGAAACUCAAAGGAAUUGACGGGGGCCCGCACAAGCGGAGGAACAUGUGGUUUAAUUCGAUGAUACGCGAGGAACCUUACCCGGGCUUGAAAUGCAUUCGACUGGGUCGGAAACGGCCUUUCCCUUCGGGGCGGAUGCGUAGGUGCUGCAUGGUUGUCGUCAGCUCGUGCCGUGAGGUGUCGGCUUAAGUGCCAUAACGAGCGCAACCCCUGUCGUCAGUUGCCAUCGGUAUAAGCCGGGGACUCUGGCGAGACUGCCAUCGUAAGAUGCGAGGAAGGUGGGGAUGACGUCAAAUCAGCACGGCCCUUAUGUCCGGGGCGACACACGUGUUACAAUGGGCGGUACAGCGGGAAGCUACCCGGCGACGGGGAGCCGAUCCCGAAAUCCGCUCACAGUUCGGAUCGGAGUCUGCAACUCGACUCCGUGAAGUCGGAUUCGCUAGUAAUCGCGCAUCAGCCACGGCGCGGUGAAUACGUUCCCGGGCCUUGUACACACCGCCCGUCAAGCCAUGGAAGUCGGGGGUACCUGAAGUUCGUAACCCUUCGGGGAGCGACCCAGGGUAAAACCGGUGACUGGGGCUAAGUCGUAACAAGGUAGCCGUACCGGAAGGUGCGGCUG
rnacentral:rRNA from 1 species